GCAGCAGUGAGGAAUAUUGGUCAAUGGACGAGAGUCUGAACCAGCCAAGUAGCGUGAAGGAUGACUGCCCUAUGGGUUGUAAACUUCUUUUAUAUGGGAAUAAAACGUUUCACGUGUGGGAUUUUGUAUGUACCAUAUGAAUAAGGAUCGGCUAACUCCGUGCCAGCAGCCGCGGUAAUACGGAGGAUCCGAGCGUUAUCCGGAUUUAUUGGGUUUAAAGGGAGCGUAGGUGGAUUGUUAAGUCAGUUGUGAAAGUUUGCGGCUCAACCGUAAAAUUGCAGUUGAAACUGGCAGUCUUGAGUACAGUAGAGGUGGGCGGAAUUCGUGGUGUAGCGGUGAAAUGCUUAGAUAUCACGAAGAACUCCGAUUGCGAAGGCAGCUCACUGGACUGCAACUGACACUGAGGCUCGAAAGUGUGGGUAUCAAACAGGAUUAGAUACCCUGGUAGUCCACACACUAAACGAUGAAUACUCGCUGUUUGCGAUAUACGGCAA
rnacentral:rRNA from 1 species